rfam:Candidatus Pacearchaeota archaeon CG1_02_30_18 cg1_0.2_scaffold_11329_c, whole genome shotgun sequence.
GCCUCGGUCGCAUAGUGGUUAUUGCACCGGAUUGCUAAUCCGGGCCCUUCGGGGCUCGCAGGUUCAAUUCCUGCCCGAGGCG